rnacentral:misc_RNA from 1 species
UCUGUUGAAAUGUACAUCACAGAAGGUUAUAUUCAAAAGAUUCAGAAGUCUAAUGAAUGCUUAGACACUAAAGCUUAGUUCUAAUAUUUGAGCUAUCUCUGGGACUCAAUUCAAAGUUAUUUGUAUCUCUAUUAUUAUUAUAUAGGCAGUGUAUACGUGUGUACAUAGCUUUUGGCUUUGGCUCUCAGUAGAUGGUAAUAAUAUAUCAGAUGCAUCCUUUAUGUAUCGUUGUUGGAUGCCAUAAUAUCUACUAGAAUAUCCCGCAAAUCUGUUUUGAAAGUUCUUUACCACAACUCAUGAGUUUGUUAUCCAUGCAGUUUGUCACCUAUUUCAGCUCUACUGGUUAAUUAGGCAGGCAGUUAUCUUAUGUCAAUGCCUUAAGAUGCUAAUCAGAAACCCUCUCAUCACAUGCUCUUUUUCUGUCUCUGAUCAGGUACCCAAUACCACCUUUUGAUUUUUCUGUUAAAGGAGUAACCUCAAUAUCAGUGGAUGUGCAUAAAUAUGGUCUUGCUCCUAAAGGAACAAGUGUAGUUCUAUACAGAAAUCAUGAUAUUAGAAAGGUAAAAUUUAUUGUUGAUUUUACUCAUCUUAGAAGUUAUUGCUUUCACUUAUUAAGUGCAGUCACAAAUGAAAUUCUCUCUCUCCAGUUCUAAUUUUGUAAUUCUAUUGUCAUACUGAUUUAUGGUAUAUAUUAUACUGGUGCUUGUUUUCAUGCAACUUGGCUUCAGGAAACUUCUUCAUUUGAUUUUGGGCAACUGAUACUACUCAGA